GAGGGAAAGGCGAAAAGAACCCCGGCGAGGGGAGUGAAAAAGAACCUGAAACCGUGUACGUACAAGCAGUGGGAGCACAGGUUUACCUGUGUGACUGCGUACCUUUUGUAUAAUGGGUCAGCGACUUAUAUUCUGUAGCAAGGUUAACCGUAUAGGGGAGCCGAAGGGAAACCGAGUCUUAACCGGGCGUUAAGUUGCAGGGUAUAGACCCGAAACCCGGUGAUCUAGCCAUGGGCAGGUUGAAGGUUGGGUAACACUAACUGGAGGACCGAACCGACUAAUGUUGAAAAAUUAGCGGAUGACCUGUGGCUGGGGGUGAAAGGCCAAUCAAACCGGGAGAUAGCUGGUUCUCCCCGAAAGCUAUUUAGGUAGCGCCUCGUGAAUUCAUCUCCGGGGGUAGAGCACUGUUUCGGCUAGGGGGCCAUCCCGGCUUACCAACCCGAUGCAAACUGCGAAUACCGGAGAAUGUUAUCACGGGAGACACACGGCGGGUGCUAACGUCCGUCGUGAAGAGGGAAACAACCCAGACCGC
rnacentral:rRNA from 1 species